CAGCAGCCGCGGUAAUACGUAGGGUGCGAGCGUUAAUCGGAAUUACUGGGCGUAAAGCGUGCGCAGGCGGUUCGUUAAGUCUGUUGUGAAAGCCCCGGGCUCAACCUGGGAAUGGCAAUGGAUACUGGCGAGCUAGAGUGUGUCAGAGGAUGGUGGAAUUCCCGGUGUAGCGGUGAAAUGCGUAGAGAUCGGGAGGAACAUCAGUGGCGAAGGCGGCCAUCUGGGACAACACUGACGCUGAGGCACGAAAGCGUGGGGAGCAAACAGGAUUAGAUACCCGUGUAGUCCCUGUCUCUUAUAC
rnacentral:rRNA from 1 species